rnacentral:rRNA from 1 species
AUACAGAGGGUGCGAGCGUUAAUCGGAAUUACUGGGCGUAAAGCGCGCGUAGGCGGCUUAUUAAGUCAGAUGUGAAAUCCCCGGGCUCAACCUGGGAACUGCAUCUGAUACUGGUAAGCUAGAGUUUUGGAGAGGGAAGUAGAAUUUCAGGUGUAGCGGUGAAAUGCAUAGAGAUCUGAAGGAAUACCAGUGGCGAAGGCGACUUCCUGGCCAAAAACUGACGCGGAGGUGCGAAAGCGUGGGUAGCAAACGGGAUUAGAUACCCUAGUAGUCC